rnacentral:rRNA from 1 species
AUUGAACGCUGGCGGCAGGCCUAACACAUGCAAGUCGGGCGAGCCGCGGCCGGGUGAGUAAUGUAUGGGGCUCUGCCUGAUGGCGGGGGAUAACUACUGGAAACUGUAGCUAAUACCGCAUACCAUCAGAUGAACCCAUAUGGGAGUAGCUAGUAGGUAAGGUAUAGGCUUACCUAGGCGACGAUCUCUAGCUGGUCUGAGAGGAUGAUCAGCCAAAAGAGGACGGAGACAAGGCCCAGACUCCUACGGGAGGCAGCAGUGGGGAAUAUUGCACAAUGGGCGCAAGCCUGAUGCAGCCAUGCCGCGUGUAUGAAGAAGGCCUUAGGGUUGUAAAGUACUUUCAGCGGGGAGGCGGUACCCGCAGAAGAAGCACCGGCUAACUCCGUGCCAGCAGCCGCGGUAAUAC